rnacentral:rRNA from 1 species
CCUACGGGUGGCAGCAGUGGGGAAUAUUGCACAAUGGGGGAAACCCUGAUGCAGCGACGCCGCGUGAGCGAUGAAGUAUUUCGGUAUGUAAAGCUCUAUCAGCAGGGAAGAAAAUGACGGUACCUGACUAAGAAGCCCCGGCUAACUACGUGCCAGCAGCCGCGGUAAUACGUAGGGGGCAAGCGUUUUCCGGUUUACCGGGGUGAAAGGGGAGCGUAGACGGCGGUGCAAGCCAGAUGUGAAAGCCCGGGGCCCAACCCCGGGACUGCUCUUGGACCUGCAUGGCUGGAGUACAGGAGGGGCAGGCGGAAUUCCUAGUGUAGCGGUGAAAUGCGUAGAUAUUAGGAGGAACACCGGUGGCGAAGGCGGCUUACUGGACUGUAACUGACGUUGAGGCUCGAAAGCGUGGGGAGCAAACAGGAUUAGAUACCCCGGUAGUC